rnacentral:rRNA from 1 species
GAUGUAGGGGGCCAGCGUUGCUCGGAAUUACUGGGCGUAAAGGGUUCGUAGGCGGUGCGGCAAGUCGGGAGUGAAAUCUCUGGGCUUAACUCAGGGGCUGCUUCCGAAACUGCCGUGCUUGAGUGCGGGAGAGGCGAGUGGAAUUGCAGGUGUAGCGGUGAAAUGCGCAGAUAUCAGGAGGAACACCGAUGGCGAAGGCAGGUCUCUGGGCCACUACUGACGCUGAGAAGCGAAAGCAUGGGGAGCGAACAGG